rnacentral:rRNA from 1 species
UACGUAGGGUGCGAGCGUUAAUCGGAAUUACUGGGCGUAAAGCGUGCGCAGGCGGUUUUGUAAGACAGAUGUGAAAUCCCCGGGCUCAACCUGGGAAUGGCGAUGGAGACUGCAAGGCUAGAAUCUGGCAGAGGGGGGGUAGAAUUCCACGUGUAGCAGUGAAAUGCGUAGAGAUGUGGAGGAACACCGAUGGCGAAGGCAGCCCCCUGGGUCAAGAUUGACGCUCAUGCACGAAAGCGUGGGGAGCAAACAGG